rnacentral:rRNA from 1 species
CCUACGGGGGACAGCAGUGGGGGAUAUUGCACAAUGGGGGAAACCCUGAUGCAGCGACGCCGCGUGGGUGAAGAAGCGCCUCGGCGCGUAAAGCCCUGUCAGCAGGGAAGAAAAUGACGGUACCUGAAGAAGAAGCCCCGGCUAACUACGUGCCAGCAGCCGCGGUAAUACGUAGGGGGCAAGCGUUAUCCGGAUUUACUGGGUGUAAAGGGGGCGCAGACGGCGAUGCAAGCCAGGAGUGAAAGCCCGGGGCCCAACCCCGGGACUGCUCUUGGAACUGCGUGGCUAGAGUGCAGGAGGGGCAGGCGGAAUUCCGGGGGUAGCGGGGAAAUGCGUAGAUAUCAGGAGGAACACCGGUGGCGAAGGCGGCCUGCUGGACUGCAACUGACGUUGAGGCCCGAAAGCGUGGGGAGCAAACAGGAUUAGAUACCCGAGUAGUC